rnacentral:lncRNA from 1 species
UGAGGAAUAAUCUUCAAGGUCUCUGCUGUCUCCAGAAGUGUCUCCACGGUUUUGGGAUAAAUCUUCCAAAAACAAAGCUCAUUGGUUUCAAUCGAGGCAUUCACGCAUCAGCACGUAGGUAAAAGGCUAACCCAUUCCGCUUCCUCCAUGUUUUAAUUCAUAUGAUUCAUACAAAUUAUUUAUACUACAAGCUACCCAGAACUGAU